UACGUAGGGUGCAAGCGUUAAUCGGAAUUACUGGGCGUAAAGCGUGCGCAGGCGGUUUUGUAAGUCUGACGUGAAAUCCCCGGGCUCAACCUGGGAAUUGCGUUGGAGACUGCAAGGCUGGAGUCUGGCAGAGGGGGGUAGAAUUCCACGUGUAGCAGUGAAAUGCGCAGAGAUGUGGAGGAACACCGAUGGCGAAGGCAGCCCCCUGGGUCAAGACUGACGCUCAUGCACGAAAGCGUGGGGAGCAAACAGG
rnacentral:rRNA from 1 species